GUUGAAUUUAUAAUCGAGUUUUUGAUAUGUGAAACUAUUGAGUAACUUCUCUUUUUUUGUAGGUGGAUGCAAUUUGGAUGAGGAAGAUAAGGAAUAAUUACAUGAGGAAGCAGAAGAAAGUGGAAGGAAAAAUACUUGACUCAACUAAAGGUAUAAUCUCUGUCGUGUUCUAUGAUUUGUUCUGAUGAUAAAGUCUGAUAGUACUCUAUAUAUUCA
rnacentral:lncRNA from 1 species